rnacentral:rRNA from 1 species
AUGUGUAAGCAAACGCCGAACAACCAGCUCAGAUCAUCUGUUCUCACCUGUGGAACUAAAUGCACGGAUAGCCUACUAAGAAAACUCUCUCCCCUCAGAACAACUAUCAGCCUAGUCUCGAGAUGCUACUGUGAGGCAUGUUACAAUUAUAUGGUCGUUGUUGGGGAAAGCAGUAAUUUCAAAAAAAUCCUAUGCACACACAAGAUCAUGGUGAUGCAUAGCAACGAGAGGGGAGAGUGUUGUCUAUGUACCUUUGUAGACCGUAAGAGGAAGCGUUAUGACAACGCGGUUGAUGUAGUCAUACGUCUUCACGAUCGACCGGUCCUAGUACCGAAAGUAUGGCACCUCCGUGAUAUGCACACGUUCGGCUCGGUGACGUCCCACGAACUCACGAUCCAGCAGAGUGUUGUAGCGACCCGACCUCAUAUGGUCAAGUCUCUGUGCUUUAGUGUCAUCCUUGGAUCGGUAAUGCUGACACACACAGUACUCGAAGGAUUUAUAACAGAGUAG